UUGCUUUGACAGCACAUAUACUAAAAUCAGAAUAAUACAGAGAAGAUUAGCAUGGUCCCUGCACAAGGAUGACAUGCAAAUUUGUGAAGUAUUCCAUAUUUUU
rnacentral:snRNA from 2 species